rnacentral:piRNA from 1 species
UGAAGGUGUUAGGAUAGUAUAUGGAG